rnacentral:lncRNA from 1 species
UUUUUUCUUUUUAAAUCCACAUUGGUUUUAGGAUGUAAUCUGAGGGCUUUGAGCAAGGAGUGGUGUGUUGUUUAGGGUCUGAGUGCUUUUCUUUGUUACUGAGCCAACAGGUUGUUACUCAGAGGAGUAACGUCUGUUAGACAUUUUUCUGGGAGAAGUGGCAUUAAUUGCAAUCUGCCAGAUCCCUGUUUCUGUGUAGUGAAUAGGAAGGUGAUGUAAAUGAAUAGAAGGCCAAUCCAUCCUGGUGUCCUGCUCGUGUGUGCCUUGUCGCCUCCCUCUGCUUACCUCUUCUCUCUUGCUGCCUAUGUUUGAUCCAGGGUUCUUAGUGAGGCUGAGCAGAUGUCACCAUGAAAACAACAGAUAGAAAAGCUGCCAUCUCUCAGGUCUUAUUAGCCUAUCAUCCAGAGCCACACCCACAGGUCCUAUUAGCCUAUCAUCCAGAGCCACACCCACAGGUCCUAUUAGCCUAUUAUCCAGAGCCACACCCACAGGUCCUAUUAGCCUAUUAUCCAGAGCCACACUCACUUUGUUUUCCUAAGGGAGCAGAGUGUGAGCUGACCACUGGCAUAUGAGUCUUAUAUAUGCAUCCAGUGCUGACUGUCUGCGCUAAUUGGUUGUGUCAGGAGCAUUCAGCAGAAGAAAGGUAUUCACAGGAUGUUUCGAGGAGCCAGGGGUUCCUGAGAGAACACAGAACAGGACAGCCAUUUAAAAACAAAACC